GUCCCCAUCGUCUAGAGGCCUAGGACAUCGCCCUUUCACGGCGGUAACCGGGGUUCGAAUCCCCGUAGGGACGCCA
rnacentral:tRNA from 6 species